rnacentral:pre_miRNA from 1 species
UUAACUCGAUUCGUAUGGAGUUGGAACGUUUACCUACGUUAGCUGCUAAGGGCGCUGUUCCAACCGCAUACAUAU